rnacentral:rRNA from 1 species
GACGAACGCUGGCGGCGUGCUUAACACAUGCAAGUCGAACGGAAAGGCCCUGCUUUUGUGGGGUGCUCGAGUGGCGAAAGGGUGAGUAACACGUGAGUAACCUGCCCUUGACUUUGGGAUAACUUCAGGAAACUGGGGCUACUACCGGAUAGGAGCUCCUGCUGCAUGGUGGGGGUUGGAAAGUUUCGGCGGUUGGGGAUGGACUCGCGGCUUAUCAGCUUGUUGGUGGGGUAGUGGCUUACCAAGGCUUUGACGGGUAGCCGGCCUGAGAGGGUGACCGGCCACAUUGGGACUGAGAUACGGCCCAGACUCCUACGGGAGGCAGCAGUGGGGAAUAUUGCACAAUGGGCGGAAGCCUGAUGCAGCAACGCCGCGUGCGGGAUGACGGCCUUCGGGUUGUAAACCGCUUUCGCCUGUGACGAAGCGUGAGUGACGGUAAUGGGUAAAGAAGCACCGGCUAACUACGUG